AUUGAACUCUGGCGGCAGGCCUAACACAUGCAAGUCGAACGAGUGGCGGACGGGUGCGUAAUGUCUGGGCAACUGCCUGAUGGAGGGGGAUAACUACUGGCAACGGUAGAUAAUACCGCAUACCAUCAGAUGUGCCCCGAUGUGAUGAGAUUGUUGGUGGGGUAACGGCUCACCAAGGCGACGAUCCCUCGCUGGUCUGAGAGGAGGACCAGACCCACUGGGACGGAAACACGGUCGAGACGCCUACGGGAGGCAGCAGUGGGGAAUAUUGCACAAUGGGCGCAAGCCUGAUGCAGCCAUGCCGCGUGUAUGAAGAAGGCCUUCGGGUUGUAAAGUACUUUCAGCGGGGAGGCGUUACCCGCAGAAGAAGCACCGGCUAACUCCGUGCCAGCAGCCGCGGUAAUUC
rnacentral:rRNA from 1 species